rnacentral:tRNA from 1 species
GGGAAUAUAGCUCAGUUGGUAGUGUGCUUGACUUGCACGCACAAGGCCCUGGGUUCAAUUCCCAGCACUGCCA